AGAAUCAACGCUGGCGGCGUGCCUAACACAUGCAAGUCGCACGAGAAAGGGACUUCGGUCCUGAGUACAGUGGCGCACGGGUGAGUAACACGUGAAUAAUCUACCUUCGAGUGGGGAAUAACUGAGAGAAAUCUUAGCUAAUACCGCAUAAUACCUACGGGUCAAAGCAGUAAUGCGCUUGAAGAGGAGUUCGCGGCAGAUUAGUUAGUUGGCGGGGUAAUGGCCCACCAAGACGAUGAUCUGUA
rnacentral:rRNA from 1 species